GAUGAAGAACGCAGCGAAAUGCGAUAAGUAAUGUGAAUUGCAGAAUUGAGUGAAUCAUCGAAUCUUUGAACGCACAUUGCGCCCGCCAGUAUUCUGGCGGGCAUGCCUGUUCGAGCGUCAUUUCAACCAUCAAGCCCCAGGCUUGUGUUGGGGACCUGCGGCUGCCGCAGGCCCUGAAAACCAGUGGCGGGCUCGCUGUCACACCGGGCGUAGUAGAUUUUAUCUCGCUCAGGGCGUGCUGCGGGUUCCGGCCGUUAAAAAGCCUUUUUUACCCAAGGUUGACCUCGGAUCAGGUAGGAAGACCCGCUGAACUUAAGCAUAUCAAUAAGCGGAGGA
rnacentral:misc_RNA from 1 species